rnacentral:lncRNA from 1 species
CAUGUUGAAUUGCAGUCCCCCAAUGUUGGAAGUGGGGCCUGGUGGGAGGUGAUUAGAUCAUAGGGGUGGAUUUCUCAUGAAUGGUUCAGCACCAUCCUCUUGAUGCUGUCCUUACAAUAAUGAGUUAUCAUGCAAUCUCGUUGUUUAAAAGUAUGUGACACCUUCCCCUCUCUCUCCCUCUUGUUUUUGCUGUGUGACUUACAAGCUUCUGCUUCACCUUCCACCAUGAUUGUAAGCUUCCAGAGGCUUCCCCAGAAGGAGAUGCCAACUCCAUGCUUCUUGUGCAGCCUGCAGCACCUUGCAGUUUCCAAGAAUCUAUUGAUGAUGUGAAGUGAGGACUUACAGUAUACACAAAGAAGUGAAGAUCUCUGGAAAUGGCUAAAAUAAAGAGAAGACAUUUGUGUUGCAUUAAAAGAAGGAAUUUACAAAGUAGAGAAGAGGUGAAAGCAAGAAGGGUGAUGUGGAAGAGCCAACUGAGGAAGGACAGAGGUCUCAGCGUGGAAGGAGUACAGGAAAUGAUGAAGAUAUAGCGGGUACAUGUGCAGGUUUGUUACAUGGGAAUAUUGCAUGAUGCUGAAGUUUGGAAUAUGUAUCCCAUCACCCAAUUGGUGAGCUUAGUACAUGAUGCUGCACUACUUGUUACCGUGGCCUAUUGUAUAAUUACAUUGGAACCUUUUUGAUACCUAUUCAAGUGAGUAUUUCCCUCUUGUUGCCUGAAAUUUCUUUUCUGCACUAGGUAAAUGAGCCAAUAAAGUAUUUCUUAAAACAUUGCCGUUACCAUGGAAAUAAGGGUUUCACAUUACUCUUGUCUAUGUAUGUUGACUUUAUUUUGGGUCAUGUAGUUGGGAGAUAGCUCUCAGAGUUUCAUGGUAUCCUAAAAGCAUUUUGUGAUUUUAUGGAGAUCUUUUCUUGAACUACUUUUUUAUUGAAAAACAUACUGUUUCCUAGAAGACCGGUGAGAGCAUUUGAAUUAUAAUCCAAAUAUUUUCCUGGCUUUCAUUGAAAUACAGUCUUGACUUAGGAAAAGCUUCUUAUUUUGCUAUACAUUUAGAAAGCAUGCAACAUAUUUUCUAUACAGUCAACACAAUCUUUGAGGCCAUCUGCAGUUUAUAACAAAUUUAUGAUAUAGUAGCUUAAAUUGAUGAGAUAAUGAGCUGCUGACAGACAUGUUUUUCUAAAUUGAUAUUUGAGGAUGGUGCAGCCAAAAUACUUGGCAUGAAAUAGCAAAGGAAAUGAGAGUUGUGUAUCUACAGAACUCAACUCUAUACUGCCACACAAGCUAAAAAGACUUAAAAUCUAAAAUUUUACUAGUACUCUUCAGUUCUAUCCUAUACUCUUUGAUUAAAUAUUGCCUUAACUUAGAAAGACUAUAGUAUUUUUUUCUCUUUUAUCUGUACAGAUACAGACAUGCCAAUUAUUGGCAAAUCCUGUUAA